GAUGAACGCUGGCGGCGUGCCUAAUACAUGCAAGUCGAGCGAACAGACGAGGAGCUUGCUCCUCUGACGUUAGCGGCGGACGGGUGAGUAACACGUGGAUAACCUACCUAUAAGACUGGGAUAACUUCGGGAAACCGGAGCUAAUACCGGAUAAUAUAUUGAACCGCAUGGUUCAAUAGUGAAAGACGGUUUUGCUGUCUCUUAUAGAUGGAUCCGCGCCGCAUUAGCUAGUUGGUAAGGUAACGGCUUACCAAGGCAACGAUGCGUAGCCGACCUGAGAGGGUGAUCGGCCACACGGGAACUGAGACGCGGUCCAGACGCCUACGGGAGGCAGCAGUAGGGAAUCUUCCGCAAUGGGCGAAAGCCUGACGGAGCAACGCCGCGUGAGUGAUGAAGGUCUUCGGAUCGUAAAACUCUGUUAUUAGGGAAGAACAAAUGUGAAAGUAACUAUGCACGUCUUGACGGUACCUAAUCAGAAAGCCACGGCUAACUACGUG
rnacentral:rRNA from 1 species